UACGUAGGGCGCAAGCGUUAUCCGGAAUUACUGGGCGUAAAGGGCGCGUAGGCGGCCCGCUAAGUCGAACGUGAAAUCCCCGGGCUCAACCCGGGAACUGCGUCCGAUACUGGUGGGCUUGAAUCCGGGAGAGGGUAGUGGAAUUUCCGGUGUAGCGGUGAAAUGCGUAGAGAUCGGAAGGAACACCAGUGGCGAAGGCGGCUACCUGGCCUAAUACUGACACUGAGACACGGAAAGCGUGGG
rnacentral:rRNA from 1 species